UUAGAAUUUUCCCAUGGAGUCUUGCGGCGCCUGGGCACGUGCUUCGCUGCACAGCUGGAUAAAGGUUGUAUCGAUAUUGGAAAAAAUCCUUGGGAAAUUUCUAGGGAAAUUAUAAGAACGACGCUGGGCGUCGAUGCAAGUUCACUGUCGAUGAUUCAAGGAAACAUCUUCGUUACAUAAAAAUACUUAAAUGCAAAACUGUUCCUUAUUAUAAACUGAACGGUCAGUCUGGCAAGUGAAAAAUUCCUCAGAAUAAUUUCUAGAAAAGUCACUCUUGUUUUUCAAAUAUCUAAUUUCAAUUGUUGGUCCGGUGACCUCAACAAGAACAAAGUAACAGUUACGUAUCAGCAUUAUUAAAAUGUCCUAUUCAACUAUGUAAUGAAACACCUCAAGCACGCAACUGUUAUAUCCCUGAAUAAGGCAUUUUAACAUUGUACCUGUGAAUGUUACUAUGUCUUUGCUUGGACUAUACAAUACAUACAAUAUAAAGUCUUUGAUUCCUCUAGUACCUUUGCGACUUCAUGACUUUGUCUUAAACGCUGAAGAUACAACAGUAGUCUCAGGACAAGUAGAUCCUACGGUGAGAAAGUUACAAAAGUCAUCCUAGAGUACAAACACAACGCGAAAAAAAAAGGAAGAGAAACGUCUGUUACUUGAGACAUUGAGACUUACUGUACUCCUACGAAUACACUACGCAUGUAUACUGUACGAAUAGUCAGUUAACAAAGUCGAGUAUGUAAUUUUGCGACAUUAAUGCUGUUUCUAUAAAUUCCGUGAAAGUAAACACCGUGACGCUAGAGGUGUGUGCAAUUUCUUUUCCUCUCCUUUUUUUCUUUCUCGUCACGCCACAAUAAACCUUGCAGAGCACGAUCACGUCAGGACAGUGGGUACCUAGUGAAUUACGACACAAGCUUUUACGAUUCUACCGUGAAUGACUGAUGCACUCUCAUUAUCAAUACCACGACUAGGCGAGGCUUAUAAAAACCCUGAUAACGUCGAAUUCGAUUCCUUUAAAAUCUAUUGUCAUCUUACUCCGCCCUUAUCACCAUACUAAUCACUGCUAACAAAAUCUAUUUUAAGGGUAUCGAAUAUAAGACAAAAAAAGUUCUCUGAAUUUCAAGUUGAUUUCCCACACACCACUGUAGGAUGUUGCCGUUAAUUUAUUACAUAUGGUAAUACGUGUACGUGUGUAAAUACAAACUUUGCAUACAAGCAAGGGAAAUUUUACAAAGUACGUAAGAACCUCGUUACCUCGUUAUCGUCAUCGGUGAGAACUUCGUGGGCACGAAGAAUAGACUUUUAUAUUAUAAAUAUAUAAUGCAUAUAUACAUAUAAUAGUUAUAUAAAAUAUACGUAUACAUAUAUAGUUACGUAAAGGCGCUCGAAGCCCAUCAAGUCACUGCGGCAAACUACGCCGAGUUCGACGGCUCGAUAGAUAGUAUGUAUUAUUUAGAGUCGGCAGGGGUGCUCGCGAUUAUAGACCACCGACCAGGAGAACUUCAUAGAACAUGACGUUAGAGCUUAGCGAAGCCUCAUCGGAACCUCGCUCUAUUCAAAUCGAAUAGACCAUCCUCGACAGGGUCGCCGGAUUGAUUAAAUUCGUUAUCAGGCUGUGAUAUAGUUAAGCAAACUUCUUGUAAUUUUGUCCCUUGGCUGGAUACGCAUGAGAGCAUGCGAUACACUGUAGAUACGCGGUAUAUUAUUAUACUGCAAUUGGAGCAUCGCUGAUAGGAAACUUAGGAAAGCAACAUUGUCUCCUGUGAUUUCAGUUAAGGAAUACUGCCGCGUGUGUGAUUUUAAGGAAAUAGGGAGAAAUGUUGUCCUGCAGCGGAUGGGACGCGAAUGAGAAAUGUAGACGCGAGUGUAAAAACCUUUGGAACAAGAAACGAAUAUGAAUGGUAUGACUACUGGGAAUUAAUAUCCUGGUCCAGAGUCUACUGAGGUUGGGAAUAUCGCUAAAGCUACGGCGUCCUAGACCCUUUGAACGCACGCGACGUUUAUUGAUCUGGCUAGCGAGAAGAGGGCGCCGGGACGCCGAAAACUGCGCCCGGCUUCGCUUGAUCUACGACACGCUCCAUCCCCGUGAAGGUCUUUAUCAAUUGACUUCGUGUCCUUCUCAGAACGAAUGUGUCCUGGAUGCUGGAUCAAUGCGAGUUGGACGAUUUUAAGAAAGUCCAAAUCUUCUAUUAGAAAUGAUAAGUCGUAGGUAGUUUGAUUUUGUUUGUUUGUUUUUCUCUCUUUCUCCAUCUUUUCCUUUCACGCUCACAAAAGGGGGGACGCCUACGUGCUUUGUGACAAACAAUAGGUUAGGAUUCUCCGAGCGCUAAUUCACUUAGUGCCUCUUCGUGACGACCGUCUUGUUCGGAUACUUUCCAUAAAUUCUACCACUUCUGGUGACCCUGUAGUUGACCUGUUGGCUGACCUGCAUCGAAGAACUUGAAAC